rnacentral:lncRNA from 1 species
GAGAGAUUUUCACAACACCAGGGCAGGGGCCCGCCCUUCGGGGGCAAGGAGGGCGUCCCGGCUAUCUCCGCACGGACCGGCCCCGUCGGGAGUCGCGGACGGGCGGGGGACCCGGGCCCAUCGCGCCGGCCAAGCCGGCGGCAGACGACCCUCCGGGACGGGGAAACGGCUGGAGCGCCGCACCGGAACCGAAGGUUCCCGGUCGGGGGAGGAGGGCGGUCGACGCGGUUUGGGUUGGCGGGCGUGGGCGCGUACACGCGGGAGGGCUUCCUCUCACGACUCCCUAACUCACUGCCGGUGCUUGGCGCUCCCCGCUCUUUCACGCUCACGACCCUGGACGGAGUCACUCAGAGGCCUCCGACGACGGCUCUCUCUCUUCCCUCGGUUCGAUUCCCGAAUUGGAACCCCGGUUCCCUUUUCAGCAUCCACGCUGUAGCUUUGUGGGCCCCAUCACGAGCCCCUCGCUCCAUCUCUCUCUCUCUCUCACCUCCCCCCCCCGCCCCCGCACUAGUAAAUCUGAAUCGUGGUUCCCUUUUCAGCAAAGCACCACCAAGCGACCACACUGUAGUCCCGUGGGCCCGAUCGCAAUCCCCUCGCUCCAUUUCUCUCUCUCCCUCACGCACACACACACACACACCCCCAGCCCCUACCAGGGAAUCUGAAUCCCGCAAAGUGCCACAGAGUGACCACGCCGCAGCUCCGUGGGCCCGAUCGCAAUCCCCUCGCUCCACUUCUCUCUCUCGCACACACGCGCGCACCCACUAGUGAAUCUGAAUCCCGGUCCCCUUUUCAGCAAAGGGCCACAGAGUGAUCACGCUGUAGCUCCGUGGGCCCGGUCACAACCCCCUCACUCCGUUUCUCUCCCUCUCACGCCGCCCCCACCCCCCGACCGGUGAACUGAAAUCCCGGCUUCCCUUUUCCAAGCGCCACGGAGGGAGCGCGCCGAAGCUCCGUGACCCGAUCGCGCUGCCCCUGGCUCCGUCUUUCCCACCGUCGCUCCGG